rnacentral:rRNA from 1 species
GACGUAGGGGGCCAGCGUUGUUCGGAAUUACUGGGGGUAAAGGGUUCGUAGGCGGUGUGGCAAGUCGGGAGUGAAAUCUCUGGGCUCAACCCAGAGUCUGCUUCCGAAACUGCUGUGCUUGAGUGUGGGAGAGGCGCGUGGAAUUGCAGGUGUAGCGGUGAAAUUCGUAGAUAUUCGCAAGAACACCAGUGGCGAAGGCGGCUCACUGGCCCGGUACUGACGCUGAGGCACGAAAGCGUGGGGAGCAAACAGG